UACGUAGGGUGCGAGCGUUAAUCGGAAUUACUGGGCGUAAAGAGUGCGUAGGCGGUUCGUUAUGUCUGCUGUGAAAGCCCCGGGCUUAACCCGGGAAUGGCAGUGGAAACUGGCGGGCUUGAGUGUGGCAGAGGGGGGUGGAAUUCCCGGUGUAGAGGUGAAAUUCGUAGAUAUCGGGAGGAACACCGGUGGCGAAGGCGGCGAUCUGGGUCGAUACUGACGCUGAGGUGCGAAAGCGUGGGGAGCAAACAGG
rnacentral:rRNA from 1 species